CUUUGAGUUCAGAAACUAUACUUUGAAUAUCCAGGAAGAUAUGGUAAGAAAUACAUCAACUUACUAUAUAAAUAUUCUUCUAGUUUUAACAUAAA